CAGUAGCCACGGUAAUACAUAGGGUGCAAGCGUUAAUCGGAAUUACUGGGCGUAAAGCGUGCGCAGGCGGUUCUAUAAGACAGAUGUGAAAUCCCCGGGCUCAACCUGGGAACUGCAUUUGUGACUGUAGAGCUGGAGUGCGGCAGAGGGGGAUGGAAUUCCGCGUGUAGCAGUGAAAUGCGUAGAUAUGCGGAGGAACACCGAUGGCGAAGGCAAUCCCCUGGGCCUGCACUGACGCUCAUGCACGAAAGCGUGGGGAGCAAACAGGAUUAGAUACCCCGGUAGUCCCUGUCUCUUAUAC
rnacentral:rRNA from 1 species